rnacentral:lncRNA from 1 species
CUGGACCUGGUUGUGGUCACUAGGAGGCGCCUGGUGAAGAUGGCAUCCCGACCUCCUCGAAAUCCUCCUGACCUCCUACACCGCUUGCAAGGUCGCUGGAAUCCGUGCCAGGAUCCAUCAAGAGUGCUCCUGAACCAGAACCAGCCCCCACCAGCGGUGAGGAAGACAGAGACCUGUGGACUGCUGAGCUGGGAGACGACCUGAGGGUGUUGUUCCGGAAAACACCUCCUCAGGGCCUGCCGCCCGCAAACUGUCCUGACCCACACCCUCCCGAGGCCCGGAGAAAGACCAAACGCCAGAGACGAAAGCACAAGACCCCCUCCGAGGACCCCUCCAAAUCCCAUCCCUCUAGCACCACGGGAACACCCCUUUUUGGACCUACAAACAUUUGACAGCUCGACUUGACAGCUGUCAAGUUCACCUGCCAGCUGAUCGGAUCUCUCAUUUCAACCCCCACACGGAAAAGCCGGCUCUGCGAUACCGCUGGGAGCUGUCCUUGGUACCACGUCAGGAGCCGUGAGUUCUAAUUUUCUCUCUAUUUUUUUUCUCUCUGUUUCUUCCCUAUCUUUCACCGCUGGGAGCUGUCCAGCGUGCUAAUCCUAAAAAUGCUAACCCUAAUUCUCAUUUUUUCCCUAACCCUCCCUGUCAAUUCUAGCCCGGUUUUGUAUGAAUGGCUCUCUUCUAAAGUACUGGUUGAGGAAAGGGAUUUCUCCUCUUUCUAGCUGUAAUCCUCUUUCUUCUAAUAAUAAGCUGCUGCUGGUCGCAUUUGCCCGCUCUGUUCCAAAUUUGUCGCAAAAAGAACUAUUCGAACCCCUCUCAACAGAUGGCCAUGCUGCCACUGAGAGGUUACAAUGCUUAUGCGGUAGGGCAGGGGAGAAAUGGGCCCCUCCCAUUUCGCCCCGCCCUCCCGAGUGGGGAUAUGAUGACCGUGGCGCCAGCUUUCAAAUUGAUUUGAACCCGCAGCGGAGAGUUCCGCAGAUCCAUCACCAAAGGAACGGAGCGGGACCGCAGCAGACUAUUAUUAAAAGAUCUUUUUUUCUUCACUUUCCCCUUCCCUGA